AUGUGCUACAUCAGCCAACCAUGGGAACGUUGGAAGGAGCUAGGGGACUGUCUGAGCAUCUCAGGAACGCUGGCGCAUUUUGUGUUUCCCAGUUAUUUCCGGGUGGCCUAUGCAGUGCACCUGACACUGGCCCUCGUAGAGCUGGGACGAACAGCCCUCACUGCACACUGGGUGGCAAUUACUCUGGGACACAAGACAGCCCCUUGCCGGCAAUCCAGUCUCGGCCAGGGACAGCCUGUUCUCUCAACAGAUAGCGACUUUGCGACCGAAACGACCGUCGGUCUUCGUUUUCUAGCCGCCGGGUUUUCUAUGCAGAGCAAGCCUCCCGCCCUGGACUCUCUACUGUCCCCAGUGGCGGCCACCAUCUUACCCGGGCUUCGGAGCCUCGGGCGCCCCUCAGCGGCUGUCGAUCACACUACAUUUCCCAGUAGCCCUUUCUCAAUAGCGCGAGAGUUCGCGCGAGACUUCCGUGAAGACUUGGGCGCAGGCGGAAGCCCGCCCCCUCUUCCGCUGCGGGCUGCAUGGCUGGAAGUCAUGGCUUCCUCGCUGUGGUUCCAGCAAGGCCAGCAACUUCGGCCCUUUGGCCGAGGGAAGGCUGCGGAGGCUUUCUUUGGCAUUUGCAGAGAUGGUGAGCAGCAGACCUGCUUAUAAGUAACGAAUGGAAGUCUGAAAUAG